GACGAACGCUGGCGGCGUGCUUAACACAUGCAAGUCGAACGGAAAGGCCCCUUUGGGGGUACUCGAGUGGCGAACGGGUGAGUAACACGUGAGUAACCUGCCCUAGACUUCGGGAUAACUUCAGGAAACUGGGGCUAAUACCGGAUAGGAAUCCUUGCUGCAUGGUGGGGGUUGGAAAGCUUCGGCGGUUUUGGAUGGACUCGCGGCUUAUCAGCUUGUUGGUGGGGUAGUGGCUUACCAAGGCUUUGACGGGUAGCCGGCCUGAGAGGGCGACCGGCCACAUUGGGACUGAGAUACGGCCCAGACUCCUACGGGAGGCAGCGGUGGGGAAUAUUGCACAAUGGGCGGAAGCCUGAUGCAGCAACGCCGCGUGCGGGAUGACGGCCUUCGGGUUGUAAACCGCUUUCAGCAGGGGCGAAGCUUGUGGUGACGGUACCUGCAGAAGAAGCACCGGCUAACUACGUG
rnacentral:rRNA from 1 species